CUAUAAUUUGUCAGUCAGUGUUGGUUACUUAGACAAUAUCACUUUGGUUAAGACUCAGUCUCAUUGUUUUGAAACGUCAGUCUCAUCUCUCACCCAAAACUGCCCUGGCCACACCAGCAGCCUCCCCCAGGAUAGGCGAGCUGUGUGGCUCCACUGUGUGGGGUGGAGGCUUGGGGCGUGCAGCCUGGUUCGUAGCUCUUCUCCUGGGGAGUCCCCAUCUGGAAGCACAGAAAGAGGAAGAACGAUGUCUCCGUCUGCGACGAUUCACUGGCGGCCCUCCUUCCUGCAGUUCAUGAUGUGAACGACUGAGGGUGGUAGGAACCGGCUUCCGGCCUCCUUUCACCUCUCGGUUAACCCAGCUUGACUCCUGGUGCUGGCUGAGGUAAACUGUGUGGCGGAGCAGAUUAGUCUUGUCUUUUCACAACAGCUUUAACAAACUUCCUGCAAAAAGAAUAUCUGAAAAGAAACUUCUGCUGAAGACCCCGCUGUUGGAGAAUGUGUGACCAGAUCCCUGUGUCCAUGCCUUGGCUGAGUCCUGUGAGCUGAUUCAUCUCUUUGGUGACACAGGACCAUGGUGACCUGCAGAGAGGAUGUGAGAGGCACUGAUCCCCCGGUGGUUUUCAUUCUAGGAUCAGCACACUGUCGACAACAGUGAGGACCUAGAAGCCGCCUAAGUGUCCAUGAGCAGAGGAAUGGAUAAAGAGGACGUGGCACAUACACACGCCGGAAUAUUACUCAGCCAUGAAAAAGUAUGAAAUAAUGCCAUUCGCAGCAACAUGGAUGAGCCUUGAGAUUAUUAUCUAAGUGAACUCUCAUGUGUGUCUGUCUGACCCUCUGCUUCCAGCUGAAGCUGAAGGAGGUGAAGAAAAGCACAAGUAAGGACUGGGAAGACAGACCGAGCGUCGGGUCAUGCUGGGUUUGCACGGAGAGAAUUUCAGAACUGAGUCCCUGCCGCACCGCUCAGGGAACCCUACUCAAUAUCCUGUAACAACCUAUAAGGGAAAAGAAUCUGAAAAAAAGGAUACACACACACACACACACAUGUGAGAAUCCCAUGGGCAGAGGAGGCUGGUGGGCUACAGUCCGUAGCGUCCCGCAGAGCUGGACGUGACUGGAGCGACUUAGCGCACACACGUAGUGGUGGCUUGGUUGGUAAGUCAUGUCUGACUCUUGGGACCCCAUGGACUGUAGCCCCCAGGCUUCUCUGUCCAUGGGGUUUCCCAGGUAAGAAUACUGGGGAGGGCUGCCAUUUCCUUCCCCAUAUUUCAUAUAUAUAUACAUAUAUAUGUAUAUAUAUAUAUACACACACAAUCACUGUGCUGUAUACCUUAAACUAAUACAACAUCGUAAAUCAAUUAUACUCCAAUAAAAAUUUGAAAAAAAUCAUCUGUGAGAUAUCAUUGGAAUACUAUGCAGCCAAUAAACUGAUAAUUAUAUUGAUAAUCUUGGCACAUGAAAAAAGGUAUAAAAAUAAUUUAAACUGCAAAA